rnacentral:lncRNA from 1 species
CCUGGGUCAAUUGGGGUUGAAGGUGGGCUCACAGUGAUUGGGGGGCUACCACCUCCGUAAGUUGGUGGUGAGUUGUAGUACCCACCAUCUCCUGAGGGAGGAUUUGAUGGUGUUGAAGGGGUUGACGGGGUCGUUGGGAUUGAGGGUGUUGGAGUAGAGGGCUCUUGUGGUGGAGUUCCACAAUUGCUACCAUCAGGUGGCGAUGGGGUUGGAUUGUAACUUCCACCACCCUCAGGUGGUGAUGGAGUUGGAUCAUAGCUUCCACCACCUGGGGGAGUUGAUGGGGUUGGAUUGUAACUUCCACCACCCUCAGGUGGUGAUGGAGUUGGAUCAUAGGUAGGUGGUGAUGGAGUUGGAUCAUAGCUUCCACCACCUGGGGGAGUUGAUGGGGUUGGGUCAUAGCUUCCACCACCAGGGGGAGUUGAUGGAGUUGGAUUGUAACUUCCACCACUAGGGGGAGUUGAUGGGGUUGGAUUGUAACUUCCACCACCAUCUGAGGGUGGUGAUGGAGUGGGGUCAUAGCUUCCACCACCACCUGGGGGAGUUGAUGGGGUUGGAUUGUAACUUCCACCACCUGGGGGAGUGCAUGGGGUUGGAUUGGAACUUCCUCCACCUCCAUGUGACGGGGAUCCGUGAUGUGAUGGGGAUCCGUGAUGUGAUGGGGAUCCA